rnacentral:rRNA from 1 species
GAUGAACGCUGGCGGCGCGCCUAACACAUGCAAGUCGAACGAUUAAAGCACCUUCGGGUGUGUAUAAAGUGGCGAACGGCUGAGUAACACGUGGGCAACCUGCCCCUUUCAUUGGGAUAGCCACGGGAAACCGUGGAUAAUACCGAAUACUUCGAGACUUCCGCAUGGAAGACUCGAGAAAGCUCCGGCGGAGAGGGAUGGGCCCGCGGCCUGUUAGCUUGUUGGUGGGGUAACGGCCUACCAAGGCAAUGAUGGGUAGCUGGGUUGAGAGGCCGACCAGCCAGAUUGGGACUGAGACACGGCCCAGACUCCUACGGGAGGCAGCAGUGGGGAAUCUUGCACAAUGGGCGGAAGCCUGAUGCAGCGACGCCGCGUGCGGGAUGAAGGCCUUCGGGUUGUAAACCGCUUUCAGCAGGGACGAGGCGAAAGUGACGGUACCGGCAGAAGAAGCCCCGGCUAACUACGUG